GACGAACGCUGGCGGCGUGCUUAACACAUGCAAGUCGAACGAAGUGGCGAACGGGUGAGUAACGCGUAAUAAACCUGCCCUUCAGAGGGGGAUAACAGUUGGAAACGACUGCUAAUACCGCAUACUGAAGGACGGGAUUGCGUUUGAUGAGCUAGUUGGAGGGGUAACGGCACACCAAGGCGAUGAUCAGUAGCCGGUCGGAGAGGAGGAACGGCCAAAUUGGGACUGAGACACGGCCCAGAGUCCUACGGGGGGCAGCAGGGGGGAAACUGCCGCAAUGGACGAAAGUCUGACGGAGCAACGCGGCGUGAGUGAUGACGGCCUUCGGGUUGUAAAGCUCUGUUAAUCGGGACGCGGUACCGGAAUAGAAAGCCACGGCUAACUACGUGCCAGCAGCCGCGGUAAUAC
rnacentral:rRNA from 1 species